AAAACGCGAUAAUUAGCAUGAAUUGCAGGCUUCUGUGAAUCGUCGAAAAUUCGAACGCAACGCGCCCGGAAGCAAUUUCGGGCACAUUUGGUUGAGUGACACUUUUUUGCUGAAUCUGAACUCCUCUGCCCUGGCGGAGAACUUCAGUUCGAUGACGGCGGUUUGCUCCAUCACAAUCCGCUCAGAAAUAAGUAAGGUGGCUUAGAAAUCAGCGGUUUCAGACCGGAUUGGUGUGCGGCGUUUUUGUGGUAUCCACGUUAAGUGCUGUGCGCAUUGAAAGUCGGAAUCCGUUGCCUGGUCUAAAUCUUUUUUUAAAUAUUGUCCUCAACUCAAGUGUGACUACCCGCUGAACUUAA
rnacentral:misc_RNA from 1 species